CCCGAGGAAGGUUUUUACCGAUUUACUCCUGAGGGCUUGUAGCUCAGUUGGUUAGAGCGCGCGCUUGAUAAGCGUGAGGUCGGAGGUUCAAGUCCUCCCAGGCCCACCAAUUUAUGAUUGCUGAUAAAUUUGCUGAUAAGUUUUUUGUGAAUGUUUUGAUGGUCUUUUGUCUUACGAUCUUUCACUUUUAUGUUGCAAUCUUUCAAAAGUAUUUGAACUGUUUUAGGGGCCGUAGCUCAGCUGGGAGAGCACCUGCUUUGCAAGCAGGGGGUCGUCGGUUCGAUCCCGUCCGGCUCCACCAUCUUUGGUUAUCAUCAUCGUUAAAGAACAAUGUUUUGCAAUAGAUCUACAGAUCUUAAGUCUAUCAUCUAUUGCCUGUUCUAUUGAAAUUGUGAAGAGAAGAUAUAUUCAGACAUUACUGUUUUAUUCAGCUAUUGUUGUUUUGUUGUUGUUUUUAAUGUUUAAGUCUCUCCUUUAAGGAAUGACAAAAAACUUAAAAACGCAACGCUAACAUUGUUUAGCAAUGUUUAAAGCAAUGUAAUGUGUCGCUAGGGUAUGCUCAAAGCCUUAGCUUUAUGUUGA
rnacentral:tRNA from 1 species